AAGUCGUAACAAGGUUUCCGUAGGUGAACCUGCGGAAGGAUCAUUAACACGUAUCCAACGUUAAAACCCCCUGUGAACCUUCAUUGUGGACCCCCAUUCCGUUAGAACGCGGCAAUCCCUGGUAAAUCAUCGCCGAACAGUUUUGAUUCAGGGACCUCUGCAUGGUUUGGGCAGCUCCGCGAGGCAAGUGGCCUGGCAUUCGUAAGAAUGGCGCAGUCACGAUCGCUAGAGGCCGACACGGCCGACGACCGGGUCACUGGGCGCAAGCCCCCCUAUAACAAACGCUGCUAAUCGCGGCCGCGAUAAUACGCAGUCGACCAAAAACCGAACAACUGUUAACAAUGGAUAUCUUGGUUCUC
rnacentral:misc_RNA from 1 species